rnacentral:rRNA from 1 species
UACGGAGGAUGCGAGCGUUAUCCGGAUUUAUUGGGUUUAAAGGGUGCGUAGGCGGGCCUUUAAGUCAGCGGUGAAAUACCCCGGCUCAACCGGGGGGCUGCCGUUGAUACUGGGGGCCUGGAGUCCGAACGGCGCCGGCGGAAUGUGCCAUGUAGCGGUGAAAUGCAUAGAUAUGGCACAGAACACCGAUCGCGAAGGCAGCUGGCGAGGACGCGACUGACGCUGAGGCACGAAGGUGCGGGGAUCAAAC